CCAUCCUUAUGCCUUUCAGAGCGUCGGGGACAGUGCUGCUAGCUCUGUAUCUGCACCUAGAGCUUGUCUGAAAUGCAGAGUCAUGCUGAGGAUGGAGGUCAGCGGUAGAGCACUUGCUCGGCAUGCACAAGCCCUGGGUUCAGCUUUCAGCAUCAAAGCGGGCGGCAGGGUACAGAACCUAAAUUCCACCCAGAGACUACAAGCCUCUCCCUAGAUUCUAGAGGACCGUCCACAGCUACUGACAUUCCUUUCUGCUCCAGAUGGCUAAGGUCCCCGAGCAGUGCAUGUGACAGUGGCUACUGUCUGUCUUUCACUUUCAUCUUCUUGCCAAGACUUUUCCCUCAACAUCUGAAGUUGCUCAAGAUCCUCCCAGGCCAACUUUACAGAUACACUGUAUUCGGCCUUCAAAACCGCCCUGUCCUUCAGGCAACUUUGCCACGAUGCAAAUGGCAUUUUGCCUGCAUGCGUGUCUGUGUGAUGGUGUUGAAUCCCCCGGAACUGUUACCACAGACAGUUGUGAGCUGCCAUGUGGUGCUGGAAAUUGAACCUGAAUCCUCUGGAAGAACAGCCAGGGCUCUUAACUACUGAGCCAUCUCUCCAGCCCCCACUCAUAUUAUUAAACUAUACUAUUCACAA